GACAGGACGGAAAGACCCCGUGGAGCUUUACUGUAGCCUGAUAUUGAAAUUCGGCACAGCUUGUACAGGAUAGGUAGGAGCCUUUGAAACGUGAGCGCUAGCUUACGUGGAGGCGCUGGUGGGAUACUACCCUAGCUGUGUUGGCUUUCUAACCCGCACCACUUAUCGUGGUGGGAGACAGUGUCAGGCGGGCAGUUUGACUGGGGCGGUCGCCUCCUAAAAGGUAACGGAGGCGCUCAAAGGUUCCCUCAGAAUGGUUGGAAAUCAUUCAUAGAGUGUAAAGGCAUAAGGGAGCUUGACUGCGAGACCUACAAGUCGAGCAGGGUCGAAAGACGGACUU
rnacentral:rRNA from 1 species